CUGCCCGCGACUUCCCGAGAAUUCCAUUGAACCUUAUCUUUUAAAGGAAGGAAAAUUCUUAACAGGGUUUCCGUAGGUGAACCUGCGGAAGGAUCAUUGUCAAAUCCCGAACAAAAAACCCGCAAACAUUUUAAAAUAUCCGCGUCGGGCGUCGGGGAAAAACGGGGCCCCCCUCCCCCCCCCCCSCGGCCGAUCGGCCGACGGUCGCGCCGGGCAACNAAAACAAAAAUCGGCGCGGGAAGCGCCAAGCAAUUGCGAAAUGGGAUGCCUUCUCGCGGGGAGGGCCGUUCGCGGAACCCUCGCCGCGGGGCUCAAAGGGCGCCUUAAAAACACGACUCUCGGCAACGGAUAUCURGGCUCUCGCAUCGAUGAAGAACGUAGCAAACUGCGAUACUUGGUGUGAAUUGCAGAAUCCCGUGAACCAUCGAGUCUUUGAACGCAAGUUGCGCCCGAAGCCAUUAGGCCGAGGGCACGCCUGCCUGGGCGUCACGCAUCGCGUCGCCCCCCCUCGCCCCCGUCCCGAGAGGGCCGCGGGCAGAGCGGAGGGGCGGAAGUUGUGCUCCCCGUGCACCGUCGCGGCCAGCCUAAAACAAGGUUCCCUCGCCGCGGACGUCGCGACAAGUGGUGGUCGUCGAGAUUGAACGGGUGUUGUCGGCAAGCCGCGUCGAGGCGAGCGUUUGGACCCCGUGCGCGAGAGUCCCCCGUUUGUCGAGGGACGAUCGCCACGACCGCGACCCCAGGUCMGGCGGGGCUACCCGCUGAGUUUAAGCAUAUC
rnacentral:sRNA from 1 species